rnacentral:rRNA from 1 species
UACGGAGGGUGCAAGCGUUAUCCGGAUUUACUGGGUUUAAAGGGUGCGUAGGUGGGUAGGAAAGUCAGUGGUGAAAUCUUCGGGCUUAACCCGGAAACUGCCAUUGAUACUAUUUAUCUUGAAUACUUUGGAGGUAAGCGGAAUAUGUCAUGUAGCGGUGAAAUGCUUAGAUAUGACAUAGAACACCAAAUUGCGAAGGCAGCUUACUACACAGUUAUUGACACUGAGGCACGAAAGCGUGGGGGAUCAAACAGGA